rnacentral:rRNA from 1 species
UACGUAGGGUGCAAGCGUUAAUCGGAAUUACUGGGCGUAAAGCGUGCGCAGGCGGCUUUGCAAGACAGAUGUGAAAUCCCCGGGCUUAACCUGGGAACUGCGUCUGAUACUGGACGGCUGGAGUUUGGGAGAGGAUGUAGAAUUCAGGUGUAGCGGUGAAAUGCGUAGAUAUCGGGAGGAACACCGGUGGCGAAGGCGGCAUCCUGGACCAACACUGACGCUGAGGAGCGAAAAGCCGGGGGAGCAACGGG